rnacentral:rRNA from 1 species
AACGAACGCUGGCGGCAGGCCUAACACAUGCAAGUCGAGCGAGCAUUUCGGUGCUAGCGGCGGACGGGUGAGUAACGCGUGGGAACGUGCCCUUUUCUGCGGAAUAGUCCUGGGAAACUGGGGGUAAUACCGCAUACGCCCUUUUGGGGAAAGAUUUAUCGGAGAAGGAUCGGCCCGCGUUGGAUUAGGUAGUUGGUGGGGUAAUGGCCCCCCAAGCCGACGAUCCAUAGCUGGUUUGAGAGGAUGAUCAGCCACACUGGGACUGAGACACGGCCCAGACUCCUACGGGAGGCAGCAGUUGGGAAUCUUAGACAAUGGGGGCAACCCUGAUCUAGCCAUGCCGCGUGAGUGAUGAAGGCCUUAGGGUUGUAAAGCUCUUUCAGCUGGGAAGAUAAUGACGGUACCAUCAGAAGAAGCCCCGGCUAACUCCGUG